UAAAAACCAACUCUAAAUGAUGCACAAAGCCACCGAGAGUGACAUUCACAAUGAGCAUUUACCCAGCAUUUUGUGCUGGCAUCUUCCAGGAUGUACAAGCAUCCCAACAUAGUCUCAGAUUCUUGGUCCCUGGCACUGGCAGAGCUGAAAUGGUCAUAUUCCCACUGGCCUCUGGUUACAUGAUCCAUGCUGCCUUCUGUAGUCACAUAUUAUUUGUGAUAACAAACAAGACUGGACUGGAUCCUGAAUUCUUUUAGUGCACUACCUCCAGUAUCUAGCUUCAACUCUUCAACUAAGAGCAAAAAUGCUAAGCUGGACAACUUGAUAGAAAUUUCAAGGGACAAGUCUCAUGUGUGAUGUGCGUGCCAUACAGAGAGUUCACCAGAAUAUCUAACGCCACAACCAGGGACAUUCAAACUGCAAACCAGGUUGAGAAUUUGCUAACUGCAUGCCGUGGACAGCUUUUCCCAAGGCCAUCAGACGAAGACUUCUUAUGAUAUUCUUACCCCUCUUAAUUUUUCCUUGCUUAUGCCUACUUCUUUCGCUUGGCAGAAUAAGGCUAUGGUUAAAGUUUCACAAUCCUUAGUUUUUGUGAGUAAUCUGACAGCAUGUUGAAUCUGUUAUGUCAAAUCUGAAUCUUUAAAAAACCUGAGAUCCUUUAGUCCACCUAGUGGGUAACUUCAGCAACAUCCCUAAUAUCCCUAAUGCAACUGUUUGUUCAAAUUGUACUAGUGAUCUCUUUUAUAGAGUUAGUACUGUCUGUUUUAAUUUAACCCAUUCCUGGAAUGCUAUAUGAUAGAAUUGCUACCGACUAAAUGAAUAGGGAGAAAUCUGUGCAAUUGCUAAUACUUCUUGUUACCCAUAGAUAUAAUGAGUAUCCGGCCUGGCUCAUUCUUUGAUCUAUUUAAUUUCAGUUGGUUUAGUUUAUGGGGAUCCUAGAUAAAGGAGCAUACUCCAAACUCCUGGCAUUAUCCUUUUGAUAGUCAUAAUAGUAGUUUCUCUGGUACACUAUAUCCUCUCGAAAAGUUUUAAAGGUUGCACACAGCCAUUCAUCAAACACCAAAGAGUCUCUUUUCUGCUGGAAUGACAAAAACUCAAAUAAAUGCAUGAUGAUGAGUACACCAUAACCUAUGAAUGACUUGUAGAGACCAGAAACCCAGCAUGAUAAUAAGAGUAGCAUUAAUGCCCUUAGUUUUGGUCAUGCACUCACCCAGGUGAAAGCAUGACUGAAAGGGGAAAAUUGUUAAAUACAAAAUAUAGGAGGCCAUUGUUUUGGACUAAGCUUCUGCACUAGGCCCCACAGCUCCUGCAUUAGGCCCCAACAGAUUUGACUAAAAAUCAAAAUGGAGUUAUCCAUGCUGAAGUUCCACAUCACCAAACUGAAACUAAGUUGUUAUAUAACAUUCCAAGAAAGCAGGAGAGAGAGAUAGCAGCCAAUUUCCCAAAUAGGCCAAUUUCAAUCUUCAAUCAGUAGGAUAAUAGUUUCCUCUGUUUUAAUCCUUAAAAGUAACCUGAUGCUAACCAAUCUUUCUAUUUUUCUGCCUCCCUGUCCCUGCCUUUCAAGGAAAGUAACUUUGAAAUAAUCAAUCUGUUUUUUGUUCUUCAUUUUUGCUUUCCUUAGCCCUUUCUGUCUAUAAAACCAACCCCUUCUGUUCAACUCACUGGCAAAUUUAUUGUAUUUUAUGGCAUAAAAUGUUGCCUGAUUCUAGAAUUGCAAUAAAGCCAACCGUGAUCUUUAAAACUAAAUCUAUUGUAAUUUUGUUCUUGAAAUGCCCAAGUGGACUCAAAUAUUUUUUUCUUUGGAGAAUCUUGGCCUUGUUUUGCUGCAUCCCAGCCAAUUGUUUAGCAAAAAAACCUUGAGCUCACUGGCAUUAUUUAUCAAAAACAAUCAGGGAGGAAUGCCUGAAGGACACAUAGUCUACUCUUGCAGGAAUUCCUUUCUUUUCUUUUCUUUUUUUUUUUUUUUUUUUUUUUUUUUUUUUGAGACGGAGUCUCAAUCUGUUGCCCAGGCUGGAAGUACAGUGGUGCAAUCUCGACUCACUGCAACCUCCACCUCCUGAGUUCAAGCAAUUCUCCUGCCUCAAUCUCCUGAGUAGCUGGGAUUACAGGUGUGUGCCACUAUGCCCAGCUUUUUUUGUUGUUGUUUUUUGUAUUUUUAGUAGAGAGAGGGUUUUGCCCUGUUGGCCAAGCUGGUCUUGACUUCCUGAUCUCGGGUGAUCUGCCUACCUGGGCUUCCCAAAGUGCUGGGAUUACGACUUGAGCCACUGUGCCUGGCCUACUCUUGCAGAAAUUCUAAAAUGUACAUCUAAUUAGAGAGUUUACUUUCUAUAAUAUUGAAUUAACUGAACUGUACCUACUGGUAAAAAUGUGGUAGAUGAUGCUAUUUAUAUCAUUACGCACUGUCCACAUGGGAUCCCCAGGAAGAAAUUUUUCUCUGAGCUUAGUAGUAAUCACAUUUUCACUUCUCAGAAUCUGACCUGCCUGUAUCUUUAGGCCCUCAUAGACUAAAAUACCCACCAGGUUCACUUCUUUAUGCUGGUGGUUAGAAAGCUUUCAGUGGAAUUUGUGACCCAUCUGUAACAGUGUGUAGACCAUACAUUGUGUUCCUGGCCACCUAAUGGUAAUCAUUUUAUCUUAUUCCUAUAUCCAUCUUUUGAUUGGUUCUACCUUUAUUAUAUAUAUCCUUCCAAGCUGCCUUCUAUCCCUUCUGCAGUACAAUGGUACAUAAAUGAAAACCAUAAAAAUGUAAGCAGAGAGAUAUGAUCCAUGCCCACAAUGUGAUUGCCUUCUUCAAAGACAUUGUAGGCAAAUGUCCAGGGUUUCUAAAGCUUUAUAUAAUACGAGAACAUUGGGCUAAAGAGUGAACACUUUUGAGUACAGCAGACUAACACUAUCUCUCAUCAUUAAAAGGCGAUCUUCGUGCUGCUCAAAUGUAGCUUUCAUAAUACACUGCCUUGACACAGUCUAGCAAUACAAUUACAGGAAUCGAUCCUUUUUUCCAACAGGUUACAGUCCUAAAAUGAAGAGGGCCUACUAUGAAAACAUUCAUGAAAAGUGAAAUCUUUCAUUAUUGGUAUCUUCUUUUUACCUGGAUUUAUUCACUUCCUUGGAGCAGUAGAGAAUGACUAAAUACAUCAGAUAAAGAUAGGCUAAAUAGCACAUAAAGAAGAGCAUGGUUUAUAUUUACUUUUAGGAAAAAGAGUUGUAAUGAGGAUGAAAUAUAAUUUUACCUUGGAUUUUAAGAGACGCAGCUUUUCUUUUUUCUUUUUUCUUUCUUUUUUUUUUUUUUUUUGAGGAGGGUUUCACUCUAUUGCCCAUGCUGGAGUACAGUCGCAUGACCAAGGUUCACUGUCACCUUGAUCUCCUGGGCCCAAGCAAUCCUCCCAUCUCAGCCUCCCAAGUAGCUGGGACUACAGGCGCACACUACCAUGCCCAGCUAAUUUUUAACGAUUUUUUUGUAGAGAUGGGGUUUCACCACGUUGUCCAGGCUGGUCUCAAACUCCUGCACUCAAGUGAUCCACCCACCUCGGCCUCCCAAAGUGCUGGGAUUAUAGACAUGAGCCACUGCACCUGACUAAGAAGCAGCUUUUGAGCUCUUAAAAUUCCUAUUAUUGAACUGUAGAAUUAGAUUUUCAGUUAUAUGUAAUUUUGUUUUAAAAAGAAGCACAAUUACUAUCUUACUUAAAAGAAAACAUUUUCAAAACUAUUUUGCAUCUUGUUCCUUUUUAAUGUGUUCUGAAGGCAAUGUAUUUUAUUUUACUUUAAUUAAUUUUUUUAGAGACAGGGUCUUGCUAUGUCACCCAGGCUAGAGUGCAGUGCUGCAAUCACAGCUCACUACAGCCUCAAACUCUUGGGCUCAAGCAAUCCUCCUGCCUCAGCCCCUCAAAUGGCUAAGACUACAGGUACGCAACCACCACUCCCAGCUAAUACUUCUAUUUUUUUUUUUUUUUUUUUUGGUACAGACAGGGUCUCACUACGUAGCCCAGGCUUAUCUUGAACUUUUAGCCUCAGUGAUCCUCCUGCCUUGGCCUCUGAAAGUGCUGGGAUUACAGGUGUGAGCCACUGUGCCCAGGCCUGAAAGUACAGUCUUUUAAAAAAUCUGCCUCCAAUUUCUUUCUUCUAGCCAGGGUCUAAGUGUGAAUGCUUUUCUUCAAGCAGAGUCUUUCAACUAUAGCAAAUAAGGCUACUUGUCAAACUAUUCUUAUAGACAAAAUAUUUUCAAAAAUAUUUUCAGUACAAAUUAAUUUACCAUGCUGUUUUUAUCUCAGAUUUGAUAUUUUCUUCAGAAAUGUAUAAUUUCAGUUACAAAUACUAAGAUAUAAAAAUGCUUUGUAUAUUUUUCUGGUAAAUAUAGCUGAACUAAGAUUACAUUUCUAGAAAACACAAUUAAUAAAAAUCUUCUGGCCGGACGCGGUGGUUCACGCCUGUAAUCCCAGCACUUUGGGAGGCCGAGGCGGUGGAUCACGAGGUCAGGAGAUCGAGAUGAUCCUGGCCAACAUGGUGAAACCCCGUCUCUACUAAAAAUACAAAAAAUUAGCCAGACACGGUGGUGGGCACCUGUAGUUCCAGCUACUUGGGAGGCUGAGACAGGAGAAUGGCGUGAACCCGGGAGGCAGAGCUUGCAGUGAGCCGAGAUAGCGCCACUGCACUCCAGCCUGGGUGACAGAGCGAGACUCCAUCUCAAAAAAAAAAAAAAAAAACUUCUGACAAUUCUCAUUUUUU
rnacentral:lncRNA from 10 species